AGGAUUAACGCUGGCGGCGUGCCUAACACAUGCAAGUCGAACGAGGUAGCAAUACCUAGUGGCAGACGGGUGAGUAACGCGUGGUCAACCUACCGUUGAGUGGGGGAUAACUAGCCGAAAGGUUAGCUAAUACCGCAUACGAGUCUCGGGGGCAUCCCUGGGCCUUAAAAGGAGCAAUCCGCUCGAUGACGGGACCGCGUCCCAUUAGCUAGAUGGUGGGGUAAUGGCCUACCAUGGCUCCGAUGGGUAGCUGGUUUGAGAGAGCGACCAGCCACACUGGGACUGAGAAACGGCCCAGACUCCUACGGGAGGCAGCAGUGAGGAAUUUUCCGCAAUGGGCGAAAGCCUGACGGAGCGACGCCGCGUGUGGGAAGAGGCCUUCGGGUCGUAAACCACGUGUCGAAGGGGACGAUAAUGACGGUACCCUUGGAGGAGCCCCGGCUAACUACGUGCCAGCAGCCGC
rnacentral:rRNA from 1 species